CUUCACCGACCCCAACCACAACGGACGACCCUCCGGCCGGUCCUGGCCGUACGUCGCCAGCAAUGCCUGAGCCUC
rnacentral:antisense_RNA from 24 species